AUUUAAAUAGCUUAAAAAGAGUAUAAUAUUGAAGAUAUUGUGGUGAUUAAUAAAUCUUUAGAUA
rnacentral:tRNA from 1 species